rnacentral:rRNA from 1 species
AGAGUUUGAUCAUGGCUCAGAUUGAACGCUGGCGGCAUGCCUAACACAUGCAAGUCGAACGGUAACGCGAAGAGCUUGCUCUUUGGCGACGAGUGGCGGACGGGUGAGUAAUACUUAGGAAUCUACCCAGUAGCGGGGGACAACUCGGGGAAACCCGAGCUAAUACCGCAUACGCCCUACGGGGGAAAGCAGGGGACUCUUCGGAGCCUUGCACUAUUGGAUGAGCCUAAGUCGGAUUAGCUAGUUGGUAGGGUAAAGGCCUACCAAGGCGACGAUCCGUAGCUGGUCUGAGAGGACGAUCAGCCACACUGGGACUGAGACACGGCCCAGACUCCUACGGGAGGCAGCAGUGGGGAAUAUUGGACAAUGGGGGCAACCCUGAUCCAGCAAUGCCGCGUGUGUGAAGAAGGCCUGCGGGUUGUAAAGCACUUUCAGUAGAGAAGAAAAGCCUAAGGUUAAUAACCUUGAGUCUUGACGUAACCUACAGAAGAGAC